rnacentral:rRNA from 1 species
GACGAACGCUGGCGGCGUGCUUAACACAUGCAAGUCGAACGGAAAGGCCCUGCUUUUGUGGGGUGCUCGAGUGGCGAACGGGUGAGUAACACGUGAGUAACCUGCCCUUGACUUUGGGAUAACUUCAGGAAACUGGGGCUAAUACCGGAUAGGAGCUCCUGCUGCAUGGUGGGGGUUGGAAAGUUUCGGCGGUUGGGGAUGGACUCGCGGCUUAUCAGCUUGUUGGUGGGGUAGUGGCUUACCAAGGCUUUGACGGGUAGCCGGCCUGAGAGGGUGACCGGCCACAUUGGGACUGAGAUACGGCCCAGACUCCUACGGGAGGCAGCAGGGGGGAAUAUUGCACAAUGGGCGGAAGCCUGAUGCAGGAACGCCGCGUGCGGGAUGACGGCCUUCGGGUUGUAAACCGCUUUCGCCUGUGACGAAGCGGGAGUGACGGUAAUGGGUAAAGAAGCACCGGCUAACUACGUG